rnacentral:rRNA from 1 species
UGCGUAGGCGGUUAAAUAAGUCAGAGGUGAAAGCUCAUCGCUUAACGAUGGAAUUGCCUUUGAUACUGUUAACUUGAAUCAGGUUGAGGUUGGCGGAAUGAGUCAUGUAGCGGUGAAAUGCAUAGAUAUGACUUAGAACACCGAUUGCGAAGGCAGCUGGCUAGACCUGCAUUGACGCUGAGGCACGAAAGCGUGGGAGCGAACA